ensembl:lncRNA
CCCCAACCACCCACAGCCCCUCAGUGGCACCCAGGGGUCCUCGGUGCCACCCACAGCCCCCCAGUGCCCCCCACAGCCCCCAGAGGCACCCAGGGGUCCUCAGUGGCCCCCAGGGGUCCUCAGUGCCCCCCACAGCCCCCCAGAGGGGCCCAGAGGUCUCAGUGCCACCCACAGCCCCCCACAGCCCCCCAGUGCCACCCAGGGGUCCUCAGUGGCUCCCAUGGGACCCUGGUUGGUGGUACCCACAGCCCCCCAGUGGCACUCAGGGCCACUCAGUGCCACCCACAGCCACUCAGUGCCACCCAGGGGUCCUCAGUGCCACCCAGGGGUCCUCAGUGCCACCCAGGGGUCCUCAGUGGCACCAAUGGGACCCCCCGUGCCACCAAUGGGUCCUCAGUGCCACCCAGUGUCACCCAGGGGUCCUCAGUGCCACCCACAGCCCCUCAGUGGCACCAAUGGGUUCUCAGUGCCACCCACAGCCCCUCAGUGCCACCCACAGCCCCUCAGUGGCACCAAUGGGACCCCCCGUGCCAUCAAUGGGUCCUCAGUGCCACCCAGUGCCACCCAGUGUCACCCAGGGGUCCUCAGUGCCACCCACAGCCCCCCAGUGGCACCCAGGGGUCCUCAGUGCCCCCCAGGGGUCCUCAGUGCCACCCACAGCCCCUCAGUGGCACCAAUGGGUCCUCAGUGGCACCAAUGGGUCCUCAGUGCUCCCCACAGCCCCCCAGUGUCACCCAGGGGUCCUCAGUGCCCCCCAGGGGUCCUCAGUGCCACC